rnacentral:rRNA from 1 species
GAUCAUGGCUCAGGAUGAACGCUAGCGACAGGCUUAACACAUGCAAGUCGAGGGGCAGCAUGAUUUGUAGCAAUACAGAUUGAUGGCGACCGGCGCACGGGUGAGUAACGCGUAUGCAACUUACCUAUCAGAGGGGGAUAGCCCGGCGAAAGUCGGAUUAAUACCCCAUAAAACAGGGGUCCCGCAUGGGAAUAUUUGUAAAGAAUUCAUCGCUGAUAGAUAGGCAUGCG